rnacentral:misc_RNA from 1 species
AAUCUACACUGCCCAGUAUUUUAGCGCCAGUAAUAGUCUUAUCUUUAAAUUUAACAGCGAGGUUAUUGCCUUUGAUACUUGAAUAAAGAGCGCCAUUGACAAUGAUCACUGAACCACGCGGCGUGGUAAUGUUCAUGUCUGGCCCGGAAAGAGAAACUUUUGCGCCUUUGGCAUUACCCAAAGAGGAUAAAUCAAUUACAGAAUUUUGAUCGGCAAAAAACUUUUGUAUGCUUUUAUUUCCCAUAAUAUUAUAUUCACUCUCAAGGUGUAUCUAAUCGUUUAGUAUUAACUGGUUCUGAAAAGGCUUUAUCCACGCCUUUCAUCAAAGGAGAUAACAGGUAUUCCAUAAUGCUGUGUUUUCCGGUAAUUACACUGGCGUCAACAGUCAUACCUGGUUUUAACCACCGUAAAUC